GGAAGAAGAUUUUGCAAUAUAAACCUAAUAUCAGAUAGAAGAUAUAUAUAAUUUUAACAUAAUAAUCUACUGAAUUUAUGCUAAGGAUGAUGGCGAAGAAAGAAGAAAGAAACUUCGCUUUUGAAUAAGUAUAGAGAGGGCUGCUGGAAAAAGGCAAAAUUCACAUGGUGACAUGUCUGAUCUAAUGCAUUCCUUCAAAAGAAAUAAAAGUGGUCUUCUAAGAUAAAAGAAGCUAGGGGUAUGUUAAUUACUAUGAAUAAAUUAAGAGAGAGGACUAGAGGACUACAGGCAAGAGAAGGAUUUUUUUUUUUUUUUAAUUGGUGGACUGGGAAAAGAAAAGAGGUUGACAUUAAUAAAGGACCAUAAGGGAUGACUUUCCAACAUUCCCAAGACUCGGGCAUUGAAACUCUGUACAAUUGUGUGGUACAUAAAAAUACUUCAGCUAGACUGCUGCAAAGUGUGAUUUGCAGACCAUCAGCAUUAAUGUCAUCUGAGAACUCAUUGAAAAUGCAGACUCUCAGGACCCAGCCUAAACUUAUUAAAUUGGAAUCUGCAUUUUAGGAAGAUCUCAGGUGAUUCCUGUGCACAUUAAAAUUUGAGAAACACUGGAGCUGGACUAUUUAAGUUCAAAGACCUGGCAUAAGACACAGGAUUCCCAACUCUCCUCACCAUUUUAUCCUUUCUCAAUAUAUUGACAGUGGACAAAGAAGAGAACCUGAAAGCCUGGCUUGUAACAGUUUUAUAUAAACAGCACACUGAGGGAAGCUAGAACAGAAGGAAAGAAAACCCGCAGCUCUUGAACUUUCACCUCUUUUCAGAAUUCUUAAAAAUUCAGACAGCUGUCCUUUUAAAAGGCAUUUUCUCUCUGGCAGUUGAAUCUUUGUAGUCUGACUUGGGAGAGGUGCUCAAAGACUCCCUCCUGCACAGCUGAGCUGUGCUGACUGUUGCAGGCUGUGAGGAGUCAAUUUCCCUGCCAGCCCAGCCUACCUACUUGCCAAGUGUGUUCCCACAUCGCCUUUAUCAGAGGGACCUCAGAACCAAAGACUGCCAGUGACUUGACACUGACUGUAAAAUCCUUAAAGAAAGUCAUUUUACUGUUAUACUUCCACGUGGAAUUUGCAUUUCCAAAGUAGGGCUAGGACAGCAUAGAAUAUACCAAGAUGUUUCUUCCCAGAAGCAAAACCCCAUUCUGAAAGCGAUACUGAGAAGAAGCUGUUCUUAUUUUCUUGAGGUCAUAAUAUUCAGAUGGGUGUCUCUAUCUGCCCUGUUGAAUGCAUUUCCUAAUCUCUCAAGGCUUUUGUCUUUAUCCUAUAUCUAGGGUUUACUUUAAAAAGCAGCAAGUCCAUUCAAACUCAUUUUCUCUCCCCUUUAUAUGGGUUGAUUUUGUAAUCAAUUGAAUGACAAGACCAUGCAAUAUCUAUUUUAAAUCUGUGUAGGCAGAAAGUAUAAAAUGAGCAGUGCUAAUCUUUUAAAAGCAGAGUGACGUUUUCAGUUUGGAAUUGAUUAGAUUGUUAGGGUAUUAAGGCCUUUGUGGUAAUUCCAUGAAGCUAGGGGAAGUUAGAAGAAAAAAGGACUUGGGUUUCUGCUUUGUAAAUAAGUCUUUAAAGUAGAUUUACUAUUUCUCUGGGGAGUUACUGUUGGCUUUGGAGGCUGGCAAGAUUUGGUAUUUUUCUGCUUGGGAGGAAAGCAAGAUGGGCCUCAAAUCUAUAUCCCAUUUUCCUCAGAUUAUCAACUUCUUUUGAAAAAUGAAUUGAUUCUUUGGCAUUGGUGGCAGAGGUAAAUUACUGAGUGCUAAAGGCAAUCAAGAAAAAGGAUAAGAAAGUAAGAAUGAAUAUUUGGUAAAUGUUAUUUAGGAAAAUAAGAGGAAAUAUAAUAGUGGAAGGAAAUAUGCUGAUGAUUAUAUAGAAAGAAGAAUAAGCCAUUUUUUUUAAAAAAAUUUAAAAUGUUCCGGAUUUAUAGAAAAACUGCAAAGAUAGUAUAGAGCUCCUCUCCCUUCCCAGUUUCCCUUAUUAUUAACAUCUUACAGUCAACUAAAAAAAACACAACCUGAAAAUUGAGAGUUAAGUUUUAUUUGGGGUGAAAUUAGGACUUGGAUAGGUUCCCAGGAAGAUGGAGACAGACCCCCACCCUGAAUGUGACUGUUGACUUUGGAGACCUGCUAUGGACAUGGAUACAUCCCAGUCAGAGCUGGUGCCGUCUUGAGCUCAGCCCAUGCCCCUCUGAUGCCUUAAUAAAUCUCUUUUGCUUUACCAAUGAGGCCUUGCGCAUUCUUCCCUCAUCAAAUCUAACAGACUUAAGCCUAGGAGAUAGCAACUCAGGGAGCCCUGAGAAACUGCUUUUAGGAGGUGAAGUGGAAGAGAGGAUAUACGUUUUUGCAACAAAGGGAAGGUAGUAGGAACAAAAGAUUUGCAGAUAACCAGAUUUACAGAAGAUUUACAGAAAACCAGGCUCUAGGGGAAAGAUAUCAAAGUCUGGACUUACUAGAAUCACCUCUUUGAUAUGCACCUCAGCUGGAGGCCAGUCUUUCUUUCUUUCCUGAAUUCCCUCAGGGCUCCUUGGCCCACACUUGGGAGUGGCUUUCUCACAGGUGACACCUUUUUUUUUUUGUCUACUAACUGCAGCCCAGGAGGCAGUAUUUCAGAGCAAUUUGAAAUACUGCUCCAAAGAGGAAAGGGGGAAAAAAAAUCAAGGUAUGUCAUAAAGGUGAAGGGUGAGGUGCAUGCAGCCAUGCACAAAUUUUACAGAGUUUGCUGCUGGUCUUGUGAGGGUUGCUACUAGUCACAGACAUCACUGAUAGAUUUUGGUGCUUUUCUAGAUAUGAGGAGAUGUAAGAAUUGGGCUCAUAAAAUCUUCUCCUUAAAAAAAAAUAACUAUCUGAAGACCUUUCUUCCAGUUUUUCCAGAGUACGGAGUGCCUCACUCCUGGUCUCCACCCUGAGCUUUGCUGUGGGUGGGCAGCUGCACUAGAGGCUGAUGGCAAGUGCUAAACUUCAGUUCACAUCACUAUGGUAUAUUUGUUACAGUUAAUAAAUUCAUACUGAUACUGUAGGGGAAAAUGUCCUGACAAAAAGGUCGAAAGGAGACACCCCGGCCAUGAUGACUAAACAAAAUCUGGCCAAACUGCCCCUAACCCAGCCAACUACCCAUAGCCAUCCCUCCCCCACACAUCUGAUUCUGUAAAACUCCGCUGUGCCAAGCACAGACCCAGAACUAGCCCAUAAAAGCCUUGUGAAACCCCUCUUUGGGGCUCAGACUCCAGAGAGAGAUCUCCUCUGUGCCUGCUGGUGUAAAUGAAAGGAUAAAAAUGCAACCUAACCCUCCCAGAACCCAGGAAGUUAAUAAAAAGCCCUAAAUGCCCUCGAAUUCCAGACCCUGUUCCCUAUAGGUAAAAGAUCAUACUUCUUGCUGUUUUAAACUAUGCGGAAGGGAAAAACAGGCCCCUGAGUAUGUGCCUCUAGACAUGAAACUUCUUGAAACUGCUUGAGAUACCAGGGAAAAGGGUUCCUAACUGCUUGUUUGGCUUCUGUAAAGCUGCUUGCAUAAGAUAAAAAGAGGAGAAGUUAAUCGACUAACCAACCCCAGUAAGAUCGGUUGCGCCACAAAAUGUUGAAAAUCCUGAUAAAUAUAUCUUGGAGACAAUAUGUCUCCCCCGCCCAGGGACAGGCACAAACACGUAACUCCAGAACAACUUAAAAUUAAUUAGUCCACGAAGCGCGGGCUCUCGAAGUUUUGAAUUGACUGGUUUGUGAUAUUUUAAAGUGAUUAGUUUGUAAAAGCGUGGGCUUUGUUGUGAACCCCAUAAAAGCUGUCCCGACUCCACACUCGGGGCCACAGUCCUCUACCCCUGCGUGGCGUACGACUGUGGGCCCCAGCGCGCUCGGAAUAAAAAUCCUCUUGCUGUUUGCAUCAAGACAGCUUCUUGUGAGUGAUUUGGGGUGUCGCCUCUUCCGAGUCCGGACGAGGGGGAUUUUCCUUCUGCUGGCCUUUCAUAAUAAACCUGAGGUCUCCAACUCUCCGAGUGUUCGUUUGGUUCUCGCCUAGUGAAAGAACUGCUGGAGCUGGUACACUGGCCAUAGGGCUGCCACCAGAGCUGAUACACCCAGCCUUGGACUGCUGACAGCUGCUGCAACAAUACAUGAUCAGUAACUAAAGAUCAUAAUUUAUAUUCAGGUUUCUUUAGUUUUUAUCUAUUGUCCUUUUUGUUUCCAGAAUAUCAUAUUACAUUUCUUUGUCAUGUCUCCUUAAACUCCUCUUGACUGUGACCAUUUCCUAGGUGUUUUUUUGUUUUUGAUGACCUUGACAUUUUUAAGUAGUACUGGUUCGAUGCCAGACAUUUGAGGUAUGCCUACAGUUUUUCAUAUGAUUAGAAUGAAAUACUGAUUUUUGAGAGGAAGACCACAAAGGUAAAAUUUCUGAGAGGAAAACCACAAAGUUAAAACUGAGGUAUGCCUACAGUUUUUCAUAUGAUUAGAAUGAAAUACUGAUUUUUGAGAGGAAGACUACAAAGUUAAAAUAUGCCAUUCUCAUCAUAUAAUCUCAAGGGUGGGGUGCAUGGUAUCUACAUGACUUAUCACAGUGGAUGUUGACCUUGAUAACUUGGCUGAGGUAGUGUUUGUCAGGUCCACUGUAAAGUUUCUUUUCCCCCCUUUGUGCACUAUACACUUUGGGAGGAAGUUACUAAAUACAGCCUCUAUUUAGGAAGCAGGGCAUUAUGGGGAGUUCUCUUGUGGCGCAGCAGGUUAAGGAUCUGACCUUGUCACUGCAGUGGUUUGCAUCCCUGCUGAGGCACAGAUUUGAUUCCUGGCCUGGGACCUUCCAAAGAAACAGGGCAUGAUGCCUUGCCUUCCUGAGGUGAACAAGGAGAGUACUACAUAAAUUAUCUGGCAUUCUUCUACACAAUGGAAAUUUGUUUAUUCUCCUUAUUUAUUGAUUUAUAUAUUCCAUGUAGACUCAUUCAUAGUUAUGUUAUGAUUUGGAUUAUAAUCCAAAACUUUUAUUUUGUUAGUCAUGUGGUUCUGGCUUUGGCCAUCUGGGGGUCUUUUAGUUGGCUCUUGGAAUACAUCAUUCCUAAAAGGAGAAUGGAAUGGAGAUGAAAAAUUAGAAGGCUGGAAAACAAUAGCUUCUAAGCCACAAUGUAUGGUAAAAAAGAGCCUAGGAUCCACAGAAAAAUGCAUAGUUUAGGGUUCCUGGUUGACUAGGCUUUGACCACCACUAGCAGUAUGAUCAUGCCUCAAAUAACUGGUGUGUACACUGGGAAUAAUACUAAUGUUUGGCUUCCCACAAAAAUUAGAUUAAAAUACUUUACGCUUUUGGUAAAAUAGAAAAUGAAUCACUGUUCAAACAUAUUGAGUGGGAAUUACCAUGCAUAUGUGUUAUUUUAUAAUGAUAUCCAAAGAUUAGUAAGCAUGACUGAUAGAGAUGUGACUGUAAAUCUCAGCAUUGCUUUUCCACAAGAUUGCUGAUAGAAAAGCAACAAAAAAAGAAUAAGAAUUGAAUGAGUCCAUAGAUAUAGGGAGUCUUUCAGGUAUCUCAGAAUCAUGUGAUGCAUGGAGAGCAGCAGAUGGAUUAGCAAAGUUCAAAAGAUCCCAUUGUCAGAUCUGUAUAGCAACUUUGCACUCAAGAGCUAUAGUUGCUAGGACCUUUGAUGCAACUCAAGGGAAAAAAAAUAAAAAUAAAAAUGCCUAGGGAGAAGCUUUUAUGGUUCCUCCUGGGGCACAACUGGGCUUAUAGAAGAUUACAGAUGGUCUCUGACAUGAUAGUUCAACUUAUGACUUUUCCACUUUAGGGUACUGCAAAAGCAAUUCACACCAGUAGAAACUGUACUUGGAAUCUUGAAUUUGGAUCUUUUCCCUGGCUAGCAAUAUGCCAUAUGAUACUCUCUCAGGAUGCUGGACAGCGGCAGUGAGCUGCAAUGCCCAGUCAGCCAUGCUGUCAGGGUGGUCAAAAGCUUGUACACUUAUAAUCAUUCUAUUCCCAGACAACCACUCUGUUUUUUCACUUUCAUUGCAGUAUUCAGUACAUUACAGGAGAUAUUUGAUAUCUUAUUAUAAAAUAGGCUUUGCAUUUGAUGACUUUGCCCAACUGAGGGCCAACAUAAGUGUUCUGAGCACUUUAAGGUAGGGGAGGCUAAGCUAUGAUACUCAGUAGUUAGAUGCAUUAAGUGCAUGUUUGACCUAAGAUAUUUUCAACUUACAAUGUGUUUAUCAGGAUGUAACUCCAUUGCAUGUGGAGGAAGAUCUCUGUAAAUCCAUCUCAUAUAUUUGACAUCCUUGAAUAGAAUUAAACAUAAGAAUUUCCUAUUUCAGUUUAUGAAAACUAGAAAUUUAUUAAAUUGUAACACUUCUUUUCUGGAUUUAGUGUUUAAUUUGGAACUGAAAAGUAGAGUGCCAGAUUUUAUGGCAAGUAUUUUUACAUGAACUGAUUUACUGCUUAUUAAAUAUGAAAUUAAUUGAUCUCUUAAUUAUGAUGCUGAGUGAAAGAAACAAGACCCCAAAAAGUGAUAUAUUGUAUUAUUAUAUAAAGUUUAAAUACAUGUAAAAUUAAUCUGGGGUGUUAGACAUCAGAUAGUAAUUACCCUUGUGAGGGAUGGUGACUGAGAAAGGCUAUGAAAUGGAUUCCAGGAAUGUUCUCUUUCUUAUUCUGAGAGCUGGUCACUUGAAUGCAUUUACUCUGUGAAAAUUUAUUAGCUAUACCCUGUGUACUUUUCUGUAUAUAUGCUACAAUUGAAAAAAAA
rnacentral:lncRNA from 1 species